GUCACAGUCCGCGACUUGCCGACUUCCCGAGUUCCCGUCUUCUACUCUUCUCUUUAGGGUUAGGACUUAGGGUUUGUGCUGCGCCGCCCGAGCUCCAUUCCGCUAUUCCCUCUCUCAAGUCAGGCCUCAGUCUCUCUCGAGUCUCUCCCCUCUCCUCCGGACCUCCGCCUCCUCCCUCUCCUCCUCCGUGCCGACAACUUUGGCCUCCCCGUCGACGGCGACCGUGGCGGCUUGAGGACCACACUCCACCAUCCGCAAUUUCUCCUUAGUUAGGGACUUAAGGUUAGGGUUUGUGUGCCGCCCGAGCUCUAUUCCCUCCCUCAGUCUCUCUCGAGUCUCUCCCCUCUCCUCUCCUUCGGAUUCUUCACCUCCCGAGCCCUCUCCUCCGGACCUCCGCCUCCGCCCUCUCCUCCCCUGUGCCGACAACUUCAGCCUCCCCGUCGACGGCGACCGUGGCGGCUCGACGGGUCCUGGGAACCAAGGUUGAACGGAAGAGCUCAUAAAGAGGUCGGAUCCUCUGCUCUACCGAGUGCAUUUACAGUUGUUGGAAAGUAGAAGCAGUUGAACAUCUAAGUAUUAGAGAUUAUUUUGAUAAAUCUGACUCAACAAAAUAUAUGCUUGCUUCUUCUAAAACUCCAACUGGUAUCACAUCAACUCAUAGAGAUAUGGAGACCGGUACUUCUUCUAAAACUUCAAAGGCAUUUAGAAAAGCAGAUGCUUUUAAGUUGCCUCUGAAUCUGCUUUUAGUAUCGGUGGGCGAGUACUUGAUAAGUAUCGUAGUGCUCUUAAACCGGAUAUUGCCAAGGCCUUGAUUUGUACUCGAGAUUGGGUGUUUGAAAAGAAAGAUGUUGAGGAGGCCGAGUUAGAUGAGACUGUAGAAGAUGUCAUAAACUCAAAUUCCUACAAUGAAACUCAAUUAACUCAAUGCUCGGCCAAUGUUGAAUCUAGUUCAUAGUGAGAUGAAUCAUGAUCAUGGAUACUCCUUUUUGGUUUUGGUUUAAAUAUGGAUGUUGUUAUUGUUUCUCUCCUUUUUUAGUUUUGCUUUGACUAUGGAUGGUGUCAUUUGACUUAUGGAGUUAUGGACCUUAUGAUGGUGGUUAUUCAAUAUUAAGUUGAUAUUUAUAGCUAUUUGGUAGUUUCUUAUUCAAUAUAUGAAUGCUUUAUAGAAACUAUGAAUCUUGCUGUUUUCUUGAAAUCAUUCUUAUGUUAUAAUGAGAAAGGUUCAUUCUUAUAAUCUUAUGUUAUUCAAUAUAGCUAUUUGAUAGUUUCUUUUGCUAGAUUCUUUUUUUGCACAGGUUGCUAUUGUAAGUUUGUAACUUUGGGACAAAGCAAGAACAUUCAUCUGGAGAUUGCCAAGCAAAAGGAAAUUCAUCUUGAUGUAUGCAAUGUUGUUUUUAUUUUUAUUCAAUAAUAGUCUAAUAGCCAUCACCGGAGGGACAAGAGGUGAAGAUAUUAGGUGUUCAGUUGGUCUGAUGAUCUGGGUCUGCGAUUCUUGGUUGUAGUUCUAUUGGCCUGGCUUUGUUUGUUAGGGACGCAUGGAGUUGGUGCAGGCAACUGGUACUUGAUCUGUUCAAUCACAUAACUUUUGUCCCCUUAUAUUGAGUAAGUUACAGAGUGAUGUUUUGCGGGAAGCAAUCUCUCAGAUUGCAAAUGAUUCUCCAGAGAAGAAGCGCAAUUUUACUGAAACCAUUGAGCUACAAAUUGGUCUGAAAAACUAUGACCCCCAAAAAGAUAAGCAUUUUAGUAGAUCUUAUGUUUACCUAAUAUAAUUUUUAAUGGCAAACAUCAUACAAAUAACUUGUCCAAUGCAUUUGAAUUCAGGGCCUGGUUGUUCUUCUAUUGGCUAUGGAGAGCAGAGGAACUUGGACCUUUCUUAAUACAAAAAGGUGUGCCAGAGCUCAAAUUCAACAAGCAUUCUUGGAAUCGGAGGAAUUGCGACUCAUCACUCGCCUAUACUGACAGAGAAAAUAGGGCUUGAUUAUAUGGAUUUUGAAGCACUAAAAAAAUGAACAAAAACAAGAAGCUGGUCAAAAAGCUUGCUAAGAAGUACCAUGCUUUCCUAGCAUCAGAGGCAAUCAUGUAUAUUGACAUUUGUUCUAUGUGAAGCAGAUUUUCUUUUCGGGCUAUUCCAUAUGUAAAUUUGGAUGAUUUGACUUGUAUUCCUUGUCUUUGUAAAGAUUAAAUAUUUUUUGAAUAUUGCUGGUAUUAGAUGAAUGAAUUAACUUGUAUCCUUAUGUUCA